rnacentral:rRNA from 1 species
UACGUAGGGUGCGAGCGUUAAUCGGAAUUACUGGGCGUAAAGCGUGCGCAGGCGGUUCGUUGUGUCGGCGGUGAAAGCCCCGGGCUUAACCUGGGAAUGGCCGUCGAAACUGGCGAACUGGAGUGUGGCAGAGGGGGGUGGAAUUCCGCGUGUAGCAGUGAAAUGCGUAGAGAUGCGGAGGAACACCGAUGGCGAAGGCAGCCCCCUGGGCUGACACUGACGCCUCAGGCACGAAAGCGUGGGGAGCAAACAGG